CAGCAGCCGCGGUAAUACGUAGGUGGCAAGCGCUAUCCGGAAUUAUUGGGCGUAAAGCGCGCGUAGGCGGUUUUUUAAGUCUGAUGUGAAAGCCCACGGCUCAACCGUGGAGGGUCAUUGGAAACUGGAAAACUUGAGUGCAGAAGAGGAAAGUGGAAUUCCAUGUGUAGCGGUGAAAUGCGCAGAGAUAUGGAGGAACACCAGUGGCGAAGGCGACUUUCUGGUCUGUAACUGACGCUGAUGUGCGAAAGCGUGGGGAUCAAACAGGAUUAGAGACCCCAGUAGUCCCUGUCUCUUAUAC
rnacentral:rRNA from 1 species